UGCAUUCCACUAACUGAGAGCUUUGAGAUCUUUCAGGAAAUACACACACAAAAAAAAACACAGAAUGAGGGAUUUAAUGGAAAGAAAGAAAAAAAAUGAAGAAUCGGUUCUUUUUAUCUGGCAAUUAAUUAGGGUCAGCAAUAUUGGGGGUCUCCCGUUGCCGUGGAGAAAAUGAGAAAACCUCCUAGUGCAGUGGUGAGCUCAGGGAGUUGGGGUGAAAGAGAACCGAGGUGCCCAGGCUGAUGGGGGUUAGUUGUUGUGAUUUCUGCCUUGAUUUUCAGGGCUUUUUGCCAACAAGUAACAUAUCACUCAUCGGAGAUUUACUUGAGGGAGUUACUGAGUGACUGCUGUUGGUACAUAUAGAAAAGGAACAAGGGGAUCUCUGUCUGCCAGUGAAGUGGAUGGCCGCUCCCUACAUACUCUCUCCUCAUCUGAGAAGUCUUUAAUUCAGGAAUAAUAGUACAUUUGGAAUUACUCAGCAUAUGGCCUUCAGAUAUGGAGUACAAAGCUACAGCCAUUGAUCUAUCUAUGCAAGAUUGGGGCAUUCAUUGUAAGUGCAUAAGAACCAGAAAGAAACAAUGAAGACUGCACACAACAAGACAGAAAGGCAACCAAUGUACAGCAGACAACAAAAUUUCGAAAACAUGAGACAAAAUGUCCUUGAAAUGACAUCAUUGGGCAAGAAACAUCUCGAAGACUGGGGCAAUUAGACGAUGGGUAACAAAUCUGAUCGUGACAGGAUCUUACACAUGCUGAAAGCACAGAACACAGGCAGCCACAAAACAAGAAACCCAAAAGAGCCCAUAAAAAAGGACCAACAAUCACCCAACGUACAGAGAGAGGGAGAAAAAAAACAAACUGUGCACACAAUAAAAACAAGCAAACAGCGUUCAGUCCGUAGGCACGAAUCCCAGAGCAGCCGGAGCAGGCCAUAGCCUCAGUUCAUCACACAGCAGAACAAAAAGAUGACGGAGCUCACAGUCACAAAGUCACAGUGAAAGGGUUCUUUUGAAGACCCUGACCUGGAGCUACAUGCUGACUAUGGUUCUUUGCAGGAAGAGGACCCACUCUCAGGGUUCCACAGCCGGGCGCCAUUCCGCAUGCCAAAGUCUCAGCCCAAGAGUAUGGCAUGGUUUCAGAAGCUUAGGAUCUCGAGACGGGCGAAUCAAGGGUCGGUGUUGCCACAGGAGAUCUGUGUGUCAUUGGGGGAGUCGGAAUAUCUGCCCAGGGGGCCCAGGAUCCUUGCGAUCUCCAGGCACAGAGCUCGAAAAAGUGACGUAGCGGACUUUUAACAUCGUAAUCCAGUUGACAGCUGGCUGACGUUAUUUUUGGUUUGCUGCUGGCGGCAAAUUUAAGUUUGGCGUUUUUCAUAAAUACAAGAAGGACUCAAAUAGACGUUGAGUAUUUUACUUAAAAGU